CCCUUAGAUGUUCGGGGCCGCACGCGCGCUACACUGAAGGAAUCAGCGCGUCUUUCUCCUUGUCCGAAAGGACUGGGUAACCCGCUGAACCUCCUUCGUGCUAGGGAUUGGGGCUUGUAAUUCUUCCCCAUGAACGGGGAAUUCCCAGUAAGCGCGAGUCAUAAGCUCGCGUUGAUUACGUCCCUGCCCUUUGUACACACCGCCCGUCGCUACUACCGAUUGGAUGGUUUAGUGAGAUCCUCGGAUUGGUCCCGGCGCGGCCUCUGGUCGUGCCGGAGUGCCGAAAAGAAUGUCGAACUUGAUCAUCUAGAGGAAGUAAAAGUCGUAACA
rnacentral:rRNA from 1 species